rnacentral:rRNA from 1 species
AGAUUGAACGCUGGCGGCAUGCCUUACACAUGCAAGUCGAACGGUAACGCGGGGGCAACCUGGCGACGAGUGGCGAACGGGUGAGUAAUGCAUCGGAACGUGCCCAGUAGUGGGGGGAUAGCUCGGCGAAAGCCGGAUUAAUACCGCAUACGACCUAAGGGUGAAAGCGGGGGACCUAAGGCCUCGCGCUAUUGGAGCGGCCGAUGUCAGAUUAGGUUGUUGGUGGGGUAAAAGCCUACAAGCCGACGAUCUGUAGCUGGUCUGAGAGGACGACCAGCCACACUGGGACUGAGACACGGCCCACGACUCCUACGGGAGGCAGCAGGUGGGAAUUUGGACAGUGGGGGGACAACCCGUGACGU